UCCCUGGUGGUUCAGACAGCAAAGCAUCUGCCUGCAAUGCAGAAGACCCAGGUUUGAUCCCUGAGUGGGGAA
rnacentral:tRNA from 1 species